rnacentral:lncRNA from 1 species
CAGCAGAGAAUGACUGAAACCGUGUAUGUCAGUGCAACAAACAAUUCCACAAAGCGGACUCAAUUCAGGGCAGUAAUAGAUUGACCUGUUAGAUGACCUGGCUUCAGAAGAAAACAGACAGGCUGUCAGAGGGAAUCCUUAGGUGGAAGAGAACCAGUAUAACUGUUUCACUGCCAUAUUACCAUCCUCCCCUAUAGCAAGGAAAGGAGCUCCUGAGACUUAUUUCCUGGGCAAGCAGAA